rnacentral:SRP_RNA from 1 species
GCUGAGCUUAGUAACGUGAGCUUGUCACCAAGUGGAGCAUUAAGGUAUUUGGAUAAUUUGGUUAAUGAUCUUAAAGUUGACUUGACGACGCUUUCUGGCUUGCCCGAUUCCAAGUUGGGUAGUUAGACUUUGUGAUCUUAGCGAAAGCUUUGGUCAUGAGGUUUCUAGAGUUGAGGAUAAUGCGUCAGGCUGGCUUUACAGAGCAGCGAUUACCUCUCGCUUUCAACGGUGGAAGGAUUACAAGCUGUGGUCUAUCUAGUCAGAUAUACGUUAAGUUCCAAACCAAAUUGAACAAAUAUUUUU